rnacentral:rRNA from 1 species
AGUUUGAUCCUGGCUCAGGAUGAACGCUAGCUACAGGCUUAACACAUGCAAGUCGAGGGGCAGCAUUGGAGUAGCAAUACUUCAGAUGGCGACCGGCGCACGGGUGAGUAACACGUAUCCAACCUGCCGCUUACUCGGGGAUAGCCUUUCGAAAGAAAGAUUAAUACCCGAUGGUAUAAAGAGUUCGCAUGUUCUCUUUAUUAAAGAAUUUCGGUAAGCGAUGGGGAUGCGUUCCAUUAGAUAGUUGGCGGGGUAACGGCCCACCAAGUCUACGAUGGAUAGGGGUUCUGAGAGGAAGGUCCCCCACAUUGGAACUGAGACACGGUCCAAACUCCUACGGGAGGCAGCAGUGAGGAAUAUUGGUCAAUGGACGAGAGUCUGAACCAGCCAAGUAGCGUGAAGGAUGACUGCCCUAUGGGUUGUAAACUUCUUUUAUAAGGGAAUAAAGUGAGGGACGUGUCCCUUUUUGUAUGUACCUUAUGAAUAAGGAUCGGCUAACUCCGUGCCAGCAGCCGCGGUAAUACGGAGGAUCCAAGCGUUAUCCGGAUUUAUUGGGUUUAAAGGGAGCGUAGGUUGACAUAUAAGUCAGCUGUGAAAGUUUACGGCUCAACCGUGAAAUUGCAGUUGAUACUGUAUGUCUUGAGUGUACAAGAGGUGGGCGGAAUUCGUGGUGUAGCGGUGAAAUGCUUAGAUAUCACGAAGAACUCCAAUUGCGAAGGCAGCUCACUGGGGUACAACUGACACUGAGGCUCGAAAGUGUGGGUAUCAAACAGGAUUAGAUACCCUGGUAGUCCACACAGUAAACGAUGAAUACUCGCUGUUUGCGAUAUACAGUAAGCGGCCAAGCGAAAGCAUUAAGUAUUCCACCUGGGGAGUACGCCGGCAACGGUGAAACUCAAAGGAAUUGACGGGGGCCCGCACAAGCGGAGGAACAUGUGGUUUAAUUCGAUGAUACGCGAGGAACCUUACCCGGGCUUGAAUUGCAGAGGAAUAUAGUUGAAAGAUUAUCGCCGCAAGGUCUCUGUGAAGGUGCUGCAUGGUUGUCGUCAGCUCGUGCCGUGAGGUGUCGGCUUAAGUGCCAUAACGAGCGCAACCCUUAUCAUUAGUUACUAACAGGUCAUGCUGAGGACUCUAGUGAGACUGCCGUCGUAAGAUGUGAGGAAGGUGG